rnacentral:rRNA from 1 species
AGAGUUUGAUCAUGGCUCAGGAUGAACGCUAGCGGCAGGCUUAACACAUGCAAGUCGAGGGGCAGCACGGGUAGCAAUACCUGGUGGCGACCGGCGCAAGGGUGCGUAACGCGUGAGCAACAUGCCCUAUACAGGGGGAUAAACCAGGGAAACUUGGACUAAUACCCCAUAGCAUUUAUUUAUGGCAUCAUGAAUAAAUUAAAGCUUCGGUGGUAUAGGAUUGGCUCGCGUGACAUUAGCUAGAUGGUGAGGUAACGGCUCACCAUGGCGAUGAUGUCUAGGGGUUCUGAGAGGAAGGCCCCCCACACUGGGACUGAGACACGGCCCAGACUCCUACGGGAGGCAGCAGUGAGGAAUAUUGGACAAUGGAUGGAAAUCUGAUCCAGCCAUGCCGCGUGCAGGAAGACGGCCCUAUGGGUUGUAAACUGCUUUUAUACGGGAGCAAUAAGGUCUACGUGUAGACUGAUGAGAGUACCGUAUGAAUAAGCAUCGGCUAACUCCGUGCCAGCAGCCGCGGUAAUACGGAGGAUGCGAGCGUUAUCCGGAUUUAUUGGGUUUAAAGGGUGCGUAGGCGGCCUUGUAAGUCAGCGGUGAAAUUUUGCAGCUUAACUGUAAAAGUGCCGUUGAUACUGUGAGGCUAGGAUUUGGUUGCUGUGGGUGGAAUGUGUGGUGUAGCGGUGAAAUGCUUAGAGAUCACACAGAAUAUCGAUUGCGAAGGCAGCUCACAAAGCCAAGAUUGACGCUGAGGCACGAAAGUGUGGGGAUCAAACAGGAUUAGAUACCCUGGUAGUCCACACUGUAAACGAUGAUAACUCGCUGUCGGCGAUAUACAGUCGGUGGCCAAGCGAAAGCGAUAAGUUAUCCACCUGGGGAGUACGACCGCAAGGUUGAAACUCAAAGGAAUUGACGGGGG